rnacentral:rRNA from 1 species
UAAGCGGAGGAAAAGAAACUAACAGGAUUCCCCUAGUAACUGCGAGUGAAGCGGGAAAAGCUCAAAUUUAAAAUCUGGUGGUCUUUGGCCAUCCGAGUUGUAAUCUGGAGAAGCGUCUUUCCGCGCUGGACCGUGCACAAGUCUCCUGGAACGGAGCGUCGUAGAGGGUGAGAAUCCCGUCUUUGGCAUGGACACACCAGGGCUUUUGUGAUGCGCUCUCGAAGAGUCGAGUUGUUUGGGAAUGCAGCUCAAAAUGGGUGGUGAACUCCAUCUAAAGCUAAAUAUUGGCGAGAGACCGAUAGCGAACAAGUACCGUGAGGGAAAGAUGAAAAGCACUUUGGAAAGAGAGUGAAACAGUACGUGAAAUUGUUGAAAGGGAAACGCUUGAAGUCAGUCGCGUCGACCGAGACUCGGCCUCGCCUCGGCUUGGUGUACUUCUCGGCCCGACGGGUCAGCAUCAAUUUCGCCUCUUGGAUAAUGGCGAGGGAAACGUGACACCUUUACGGUGUGUUAUAGUCUCUCGUCGCAUGCAAGGGUCGGGAUUGAGGAACUCAGCACGCGCCUUUGGGCGUCGGGGCUUUGCCUACGAUACGUGCUUAGGAUGUUGGCGUAAUGGCUUUAAACGACC